GACGAACGCUGGCGGCGUGCUUAACACAUGCAAGUCGAACGGAAAGGCCCUGCUUUUGUGGGGUGCUCGAGUGGCGAACGGGUGAGUAACACGUGAGUAACCUGCCCUUGACUUUGGGAUAACUUCAGGAAACUGGGGCUAAUACCGGAUAGGAGCUCCUGCUGCAUGGUGGGGGUUGGAAAGUUUCGGCGGUUGGGGAUGGACUCGCGGCUUAUCAGCUUGUUGGUGGGGUAGUGGCUUACGAAGGGUCUGACGGGUAGCCGGCCUGAGAGGGUGACCGGCGACAUUGGGCCUGAGGUACGGCCCAGACUCCUACGGGAGGCAGCAGUGGGGAAUAUGGCACAAUGGGCGGAAGCCUGAUGCAGCAACGCCGCGUGCGGGAUGACGGCCUUCGGGUGGUGAACCGCUUUCGCAUGUGACGAAGCGUGAGUGACGGUACUGGGUAAAGAAGCACCGGCUAACUACGUG
rnacentral:rRNA from 1 species